GCUCCUCUGCCCCCUCCGGGAGAAGGGGCUCUUCUCUAGAUGAGACCCUGGCCUCGACCCAGGCGGCCUCCCAGGCUCCGUCCUUAAGAGUCCGCUUCAAAGCUAGAACCUUUCUCCUGGGAUCAUCUUCCAUUCACAUGAUAUGGACCUUGCAUGCACUUUUUCUGCAGGCACUCUCUCGAAUCUCUGCCCCUGCCCUUCCCUCCCAGGGCCAGACCGCGUCCCCCUUCUCCGGCCCCCACCUGGUUCUGGGCCUCUUCAGCUCUCCCCUGGAGAGCUUUCCCUGCCUCACACCCGUCUCAGGAUCAGGCAUUCUCAGAGUUAGAAGCCACCCGCCACAUCGUCCGGGCCAAGCCUUUGCUUGAAGCCCUUCAGUGAUGCUGCUAAGCCUCCCGCUGGCUCCCAGGCAGUCCGCCCUCCUGGAGACAUUGCCACGUGAGUCAUUUGAUUGGCAGAUCAGAGAGGAUGAUGGGGACAAGGAUUUUGGCUGGCUUUCAGCAGAUCAUCAGACAGAAUCUCUCAUAAUAUUUUUUCAAUGAAGAUGGGGAGAGAUGGGCUAGAUGAUAGCACAGUGAUAUGGAUUCGGAAUGAGGAAACAACCAGAUUUGAACCUGCUGCCUUCAACAGUGCUCUGCCCAUUUCCAAACCCAGUUGUCUGAGCUCUGGGCACCUUCCACCUGAACCUAGAACUCUACUCUGGAAUACCCUGAGCCCUGACAGGUGAGCUUUUGCCUCAAUCUACCUGGAACUUGGCCUCUGCAUCACUUCUGAGCCACCAUUUCCAAAUCGUGACUCCCCACUCCCUCUUGCUAGCUUCCUUUUUAUGUAUUGUCUUCCCUCCAUUAGAAUGAAAGCUUUUUGAGGGUAGGAACUGUCUUGUCACUUGUAUGUUAUUCCCAGCCUGUAACAUAGCAUCUGAAGCAAA